ACGAACGCUGGCGGCGUGCUUAACACAUGCAAGUCGAACGGAAAGGCCCUGCUUUUGUGGGGUGCUCGAGUGGCGAACGGGUGAGUAACACGUGAGUAACCUGCCCUUGACUUUGGGAUAACUUCAGGAAACUGGGGCUAAUACCGGAUAGGAGCUCCUGCUGCAUGGUGGGGGUUGGAAAGUUUCGGCGGUUGGGGAUGGACUCGCGGCUUAUCAGCUUGUUGGUGGGGUAGUGGCUUACCAAGGCUUUGACGGGUAGCCGGCCUGAGAGGGUGACCGGCCACAUUGGGACUGAGAUACGGCCCAGACUCCUACGGGAGGCAGCAGUGGGGAAUAUUGCACAAUGGGCGGAAGCCUGAUGCAGUAACGCCGCGUGCGGGAUGACGGCCCUCGGGUUGUAAACCGCUUUCGCCUGUGACGAAGCGUGAGUGACGGUAAUGGGUAAAGAAGCACCGGCUAACUACGUG
rnacentral:rRNA from 1 species